rnacentral:lncRNA from 1 species
CUUCUCUACAAAAUAUUUAAAACAUUAGCCAGAAAGAACAUUACAUGGCAUUUCCUACUGAAGAUGGGACUUAGCACAAAAACCAUCAUGGAUUCCAUCAAAGAGAUCAUUAAUGUCUCAAAACGUCUCCAAGGAUACAUGAUCUACAAAGGACCACAGAGUGCCCUGCAGAAUUGGGUUGAAAAACUAAAGAAGGCAAACAGAGUUUAUGGUAAGGCGGCAGUCUCUGGUCCCCGUUGUGAGAUUGGGUUCUUCCUGCCUGUUCCUGGAGUGGCAUGGAGAAAAGAGCAUGGAUUUGCAGAAGAGACACUUGAGAGAGAGAUACAACAAAGCUUUAAAGCACGAAAAAGAUGAACUCGAAACACCAGUGACUGGAGGAACCAUGACAACACAAACAAGAAGGAAACAAGAAAGAAAAAGCAUAAUCCUGGUUUUUGUGUUCUGAAUUGUGGAUUUGAAAUGGAGGCUCCCGUGGCUGCUGACAGCCUGCCUUGAUGCUGCUGAUGUCUGGGUGAUGAACAGUCAUGGGUUUCCUCCCACCUGCCUCUGUGGAUUAAUGAAGAGCAAGGCAGGAAUGGCAGACCUGCCAUCUGGAAUGACCUUACCUGAUAAGAUUGUUCUGCCUUCCCCGCCAAAGGAGCCCACUCCAUUAUGAAAAAGAACUUCAAGCAAAUUUGAAUCUUUCUUCACUGAGUUCUAACAUACUCCAGACCUGUAUUGUGGAAGCUCUUCCUAAAGUCCAUUUGUGUGGAAUGACUGCGCUGCUAUAUCCCAUCGUGGGCAAAGGAUACCUGCUAUGAAGGGCGAACUGGCAUCAAGCCUAAGUCUUCAUUAAGAGCAAGAACCACAACAUUUGGAGAUUACCAACAUGGUUUUCAGCCCUCAGCUUUGGCGAGACUUCUUCCUUUUCAUUCUUUUCUGGGCAAAUCUAAACCUUUGGAGAAGUAGAUGAGUGAAGUCAAUUGCAAAGGGACUGGAUCUCUCUCUAUCACCCAGACUGGAGUGCAGUGGCACAAUCGUGGCUCACUGCAGUCUUGAACUCCUGGCCUCAAGAGAUCUUCCUGCCUCAGCCUCCUGAAUGGUUGCGACUACAGGGACAGGGGAAUAAAAAUGUGAUGCAUUGGAGGAGAAUCACAGGACUCAACAAAUAAACCUUGAGAUGUCAUUGUCACCUGUGUGUACUUUAUGAGAAUACACGUAGAGAUUAACCCUUUCCUGGAAAAUGAACGUCUAUUGCUUCUUUUGGGGACAGCAUGCUUUAUAGUUAGGACAUUCUUCUUUAUAUCCAGCCUGACUUCUUCAUGCUGUACUAGCCUUCCAAUCCUUAACUAAAAAUUUUUUAAAAAUGAAUAAACACUGGGCAAUGUGUUCUAUGGGCUCUUUAAAAUACUAUGAGACUGUAGUAAAAACAUCACAACACAAAUGGCAAAGUAGUGAAGAAUGGUGCUGAUAUGGUUUGGCUGUGUCUCCACCCAAAUCUCAUCUUGAAUUCCCAUAAUCCCCAUGUAUCCUGGGAGGAACCCAAUGGGAGAUAAUUGAAUCAUGGGGACGGUUACCCUCAUGCUGCUGUUCUCAUGAUAGUGAGUGAGUUCUCAUGAGCUCUCAUGGUUUUAUAAGGGGUUUUUCACCCUGUUGUUCAGCACUUCUCCUUUCUGCUGCCAUGUGAAAAAGGAUAUGCUUGCUUCCCCUUCCGCCAUGAAUGCAAGUUUCCUGAGGCCUCCUCAGCCAUCUGAACCGUGAGUUAAUUAAACCUCUUUCCUUUAUAAGUUACCCAGUCUCAGAUAACGUCUUUAUUAGCAGUGUGAGAACAGACCAAUACAGAUGCUGUGCUAAGUUUUCUGAUUUUACCACCUCUUCUAGAACAUGCUAGAACCAGUCCACAUCAAAUUUUCCCUUAAGGCACAAACUGCUUCCUUCUGUUUUGUAGCCAAACAAUACAGUACAUUUGUGGACCCACAAUGAAUAUCCAUAAAUCCUCACAGAAUGAGUGAGUCAGCGAAUCAAUGAACCAUUACUUCCUGAAUUCAAUACAAAGCACUUCAGACAAUGAAACCAAAAUCUCCAUCUCUCAUCUCUUUCAAUUCCCAUUCUAAUAAGGAAAGAAAACAUAAACAUGCAGUGAGUUCUCAGUUAAUGAAUUAUUUCUAGAUUGAACUACAAGAAAUUGCCACUUUGGUUUAUAGGUCAAAAACAGUUGAAUAUCAGCUGUAUGCUAAUAUUUGCAGUCUUUGGCUGAUAUUUGGGAAUUUCUUCUUUUCUUUAGCAACAUCAGAAAAAAGUGCCUUAAGAUGAGUUAGAGAUAUGUAAAUAGCAUCUCAUUCUGGGAAAAUAGCUAAGCAAAAAUCAGAAAGGAUGCCAAAAUGCUCAGUUUGGGUGUGCACUCUUU